rnacentral:rRNA from 1 species
ACGGGUGAGUAACGCGUAUCCAACCUGCCCACCACUUGGGGAUAACCUUGACGAAAGUAAGACUAAUACCCAAUGAUAUCUCUAGAAGACAUCUGAAAGAGAUUAAAGAUUUAUCGGUGAUGGAUGGGGAUGCGUCUGAUUAGCUUGUUGGCGGGUAACGGCCCACCAAGGCGACGAUCAGUAGGGGUUCUGAGAGGAAGGUCCCCCACAUUGGAACUGAGACACGGUCCAAACUCCUACGGGAGGCAGCAGUGAGGAAUAUUGGUCAAUGGACGAGAGUCUGAACCAGCCAAGUAGCGUGCAGGAUGACGGCCCUAUGGGUUGUAAACUGCUUUUAUAAGGGAAUAAAGUGAGAGUCGUGACUCUUUUUGCAUGUACCUUAUGAAUAAGGACCGGCUAAUUCCGUG